rnacentral:rRNA from 1 species
AUUGAACGCUGGCGGCAGGCCUAACACAUGCAAGUCGAGCGGAUGAAGGGAGCUUGCUCCUGGAUUCAGCGGCGGACGGGUGAGUAAUGCCUAGGAAUCUGCCUGGUAGUGGGGGAUAACGUCCGGAAACGGGCGCUAAUACCGCAUACGUCCUGAGGGAGAAAGUGGGGGAUCUUCGGACCUCACGCUAUCAGAUGAGCCUAGGUCGGAUUAGCUAGUUGGUGGGGUAAAGGCCUACCAAGGCGACGAUCCGUAACUGGUCUGAGAGGAUGAUCAGUCACAAUGGAACUGAGACACGGUCCAGACUCCUACGGGAGGCAGCAGUGGGGAAUAUUGGACAAUGGGCGAAAGCCUGAUCCAGCCAUGCCGCGUGUGUGAAGAAGGUCGUCGGAUUGUAAAGCACUUUAAGUUGGGAGGAAGGGCAGUAAGUUAAUACCUUGCUGUUUUGACGGUACCAACAGAAUAAGCACCGGCUAACUUCG